GAAUGGGAUAACUCUGGGAAACCGGGGCUAAUACCGGAUGCUUGAUUGAACCGCAUGGUUCAAUUAUAAAAGGUGGCUUUCAGCUACCACUUGCAGAUGGACCCGCGGCGCAUUAGCUAGUUGGUGAGGUAACGGCUCACCAAGGCGACGAUGCGUAGCCGACCUGAGAGGGUGAUCGGCCACACUGGGACUGAGACACGGCCCAGACUCCUACGGGAGGCAGCAGUAGGGAAUCUUCCGCAAUGGACGAAAGUCUGACGGAGCAACGCCGCGUGAGUGAUGAAGGUUUUCGGAUCGUAAAACUCUGUUGUUAGGGAAGAACAAGUACCGUUCGAAUAGGGCGGUACCUUGACGGUACCUAACCAGAAAGCCACGGCUAACUACGUGCCAGCAGCCGCGGUAAUACGUAGGUGGCAAGCGUUGUCCGGAAUUAUUGGGCGUAAAGCGCGCGCAGGCGGUUUCUUAAGUCUGAUGUGAAAGCCCCCGGCUCAACCGGGGAGGGUCAUUGGAAACUGGGGAACUUGAGUGCAGAAGAGGAGAGUGGAAUUCCACGUGUAGCGGUGAAAUGCGUAGAGAUGUGGAGGAACACCAGUGGCGAACGGGACUCUCUGGUCUGUAACUGACGCUGACGCGCGAAAACGUGCGGAGCGAACACCAUUACAUACGCUGGUAGUCCACGCCGUAAACGAUUAAUGCUGAAUGUUAGAAGGUUUCCGCCCCUUAUUGCUGCAGCAAUCCCCCUAUUCACUCCGCC
rnacentral:rRNA from 1 species